AACGAACGCUGGCGGCAUGCCUAACACAUGCAAGUCGAACGGCAGCACGGCAGUAGCAAUACUGUGGGUGGCGAGUGGCGGACGGGUGAGUAACACAUCGGAACGUGCCCUGGAGUGGGGGAUAACGCAGCGAAAGCUACGCUAAUACCGCAUAUUCUGUGAGCAGGAAAGCAGGGGGAUCGCAAGACCUUGCGCUUUGGGAGCGGCCGAUGUCGGAUUAGCUAGUUGGUGGGGUAAAGGCUUACCAAGGCGACGAUCUGUAGCGGGUCUGAGAGGAUGAUCCGCCACACUGGAACUGAGACACGGUCCAGACUCCUACGGGAGGCAGCAGUGGGGAAUUUUGGACAAUGGGCGCAAGCCUGAUCCAGCCAUGCCGCGUGAGUGAAGAAGGCCU
rnacentral:rRNA from 1 species